rnacentral:rRNA from 1 species
CCUACGGGUGGCAGCAGUGAGGAAUAUUGGUCAAUGGACGAGAGUCUGAACCAGCCAAGUAGCGUGAAGGAUGACUGCCCUAUGGGUUGUACACUUCUUUUAUAUGGGAAUAAAACGUUCCACGUGUGGGAUUUUGUAUGUACCAUAUGAAUAAGGAUCGGCGAACUCCGUGCCCGCAGCCGCGUUAAUACGGAGGAUCCGAGCGUUAUCCGGAUGUAUUGGGUUUAAAGGGAGAGUAGGUGGGUUGUUAAGUCAGUUGUGAAAGUUUGCGGUUCAACCGUAAAAUUGCAGUUGAAACUGGUAGUCUUGAGUACAGUAGAGGUGGGCGGAAUUCGUGGUGUAGCGGUGAAAUGCUUAGAUAUCACGAAGAACUCCGAUUGCGAAGGCAGUUCACUGGACUGCAACUGACACUGAGGCUCGAAAGUGUGGGUAUCAAACAGGAUUAGAUACCCUAGUAGUC